UCUGGUUUCCACGGAGACGGUGCAUUUCCGACCAUGCAUGCUGCACUGGACCGGAUUGGCGACGCUGACUUGCAGGCGGCGUUUCUCACUGCAGGCCCCCCACAAGGUCUGAGGGACAGUGGACCGGUCCCCUGCUGAAAAAGUUUGCUGACUCCUGCAGAGUGACACGAAGACUGCAAUUGUUUUAGCAAACAGCUUUCUAAUACAGCUGUUCCAACGGAAUCAGUUCCAGAGACUACUUUGCUGUAUUUAAAAAAAUCAUUCCUGAUGGAGAAAAGAAAUGAAAAGGGACAAGACUAACAAACAAGAAAGACAGUGCCCAACACUGAUCGCUGUCACGUCAGGGUGCCAUCGGGACAGGAGGCCAAGUCUUCCAGGUAUUUAAUACUUCUUGACUUAACGCCACAGUGAGUUGCAUUGAAAAUCCCUGAUUAAUUUGCUAUUUUUGCAGUGCCUUAGCAGACCCAGAUGAACACAUGGUAAAGCCACAGCAGAUCACAGGUGGAUGCAUUUACAACGUGAAUCACCGGUGUGUGGGUGUGUAAGAGAGAACAAUACUCCAUACCAGGUUUCCUCAAACUCGGCCCUCCAGAUGUUUUUGGCCUACAACUCCCAUGAUCCCUAGCUAGCAGGACCAGUGGCCAGGGAUGAUGGGAAUUGUAGUCUCAAAACAUCUGGAGGGCCAAGUUUGAGAAAGCCUGCUCUAUACUCUCAAGUUCAUUUGGUUGAGCAAGAAUGUAGCUGUUGGAUAUUGCUUUUACAAAGGGCACUGGCAACAAAUUCUGCUUCUUGCUGUAUCACCAGAUGUUCCAUAAUCAA